ACCACUGUGCAAGGGAUCGCUGAUGAUUACGAUAAGAAGAAACUGGUGAAGGCGUUUAAGAAGAAAUUUGCCUGCAAUGGUACUGUAAUCGAGCAUCCAGAGUAUGGAGAAGUAAUCCA